rnacentral:rRNA from 1 species
GACGAACGCUGGCGGCGUGCUUAACACAUGCAAGUCGAACGGAAAGGCCCUGCUUUUGUGGGGUGCUCGAGUGGCGAACGGGUGAGUAACACGUGAGUAACCUGCCCUUGACUUUGGGAUAACUUCAGGAAACCGGCGCUAAUACCGGAUAGGAGCUCCUGCUGCAUGGUGGGGGUUGGAAAGUUUCGGCGGUUGGGGAUGGACUCGCGGCUUAUCAGCUUGUUGGUGGGGUAGUGGCUUACCAAGGCUUUGACGGGUAGCCGGCCUGAGAGGGUGACCGGCCACAUUGGGACUGAGAUACGGCCCAGACUCCUACGGGAGGCAGCAGUGGGGAAUAUUGCACAAUGGGCGGAAGCCUGAUGCAGCAACGCCGCGUGCGGGAUGACGGCCUUCGGGUUGUAAACCGCUUUCGCCUGUGACGAAGCGUGAGUGACGGUAAUGGGUAAAGAAGCACCGGCUAACUACGUG